GGGAAUGUAACAGUGGGGGUGAGGUUAACAGCACUAAUCUGGAGGAAGUGGGGGUGAGGUUAACUGUACUAAUCUGGAGGAAGUGGGUGUGAGGUUAACAGCACUAAUCUGGAGGAAGUGGGGGUGAGGUUAACUGUACUAAUCUGGAGGAAGUGGGGGUGAGGUUAACAGCACUAAUCUGGAGAGAGUGGGGGUGAGGUUAACAGCACUAAUCUGGAGGAAGUGGGGGUGAGGUUAACCGUACUAAUCUGGAGGAAGUGGGGGUGAGGUUAACAGUGCUAAUAUGGAGGAAGUGGGGGUGAGGUUAACCGUACUAAUAUGGAGGAAGUGGGUGAGGUUAACCGUACUAAUAUGGAGGAAGUGGGG
ensembl:lncRNA